rnacentral:misc_RNA from 1 species
AGAUAACAAGAACCCCUGCAAUGCCUGUGAUAGUGAUAUUGUAGCAAGGAACUGAUUGUAAAGAUAGUAGAGAUUGAAAGUUGCUGCAAAACUGGGAGCUGUCCAGUUUGCUUGUGUUACUGAUCUGUAAUGUUCAUUUGGUAAUGAAAUAUUUUACUUAUUGAAUCUCCGAAUAGAUUACGCGCCGCCGACGGCCGGCAAAAAAAAUACAGACUGACCGGAG